UCCAGACUCCUACGGGAGGCAGCAGUGGGGAAUAUUGCACAAUGGGGGAAACCCUGAUGCAGCGACGCCGCGUGAGUGAAGAAGUAUUUCGGUAUGUAAAGCUCUAUCAGCAGGGAAGAAAAUGACGGUACCUGAUUAAGAAGCCCCGGCUAACUACGUGCCAGCAGCCGCGGUAAUACGUAGGGGGCAAGCGUUAUCCGGAUUUACUGGGUGUAAGGGGAGCGUAGACGGUGAUGCAAGUCAGAAGUGAAAGCCCGGGGCUCAACUCCGGGACUGCUUUUGAAACUGUGUGACUGGAGUGCAGGAGAGGUAAGCGGAAUUCCUGGUGUAGCGGUGAAAUGCGUAGAUAUCAGGAGGAACACCAGUGGCGAAGGCGGCUUACUGGACUGUAACUGACGUUGAGACUCGAAAGCGUGGGGAGCAAACAGGAUUAGAUACCCCAGUA
rnacentral:rRNA from 1 species